GACGAACGCUGGCGGCGUGCUUAACACAUGCAAGUCGAACGGAAAGGCCCUGCUUUUGUGGGGUGCUCGAGUGGCGAACGGGUGAGUAACACGUGAGUAACCUGCCCUUGACUUUGGGAUAACUUCAGGAAACUGGGGCUAAUACCGGAUAGGAGCUCCUGCUGCAUGGUGGGGGUUGGAAAGUUUCGGCGGUUGGGGAUGGACUCGCGGCUUAUCAGCUUGUUGGUGGGGUAGUGGCUUACCAAGGCUUUGACGGGUAGCCGGCCUGAGAGGGUGACCGGCCACAUUGGGACUGAGAUACGGCCCAGACUCCUACGGGAGGCAGCAGUGGGGAAUAUUGCACAAUGGGCGGAAGCCUGAUGCAGCAACGCCGCGUGCGGGAUGACGGCCUUCGGGUUGUAAACCGCUUUCGCCUGUGACGAAGCGUGAGUGACGGUAAUGGGUAAAGAAGCACCGGCUAACUACGUGCCAGCAGCCGCGGUGAUACGUAGGGUGCGAGCGUUGUCCGGAUUUAUUGGGCGUAGAGGGCUCGUAGGUGGUUGAUCGCGUCGGAAGUGUAAUCUUGGGGCUUAACCCUGAGCGUGCUUUCGAUACGGGUUGACUUGAGGAAGGUAGGGGAGAAUGGAAUUCCUGGUGGAGCGGUGGAAUGCGCAGAUAUCAGGAGGAACACCAGUGGCGAAGGCGGUUCUCUGGGCCUUUCCUGACGCUGAGGAGCGAAAGCGUGGGGAGCGAACAGGCUUAGAUACCCUGGUAGUCCACGCUGUAAACGGUGGGUACUAGGUGUGGGGUCCAUUCCACGGGUUCCGUGCCGUAGCUAACGCUUUAAGUACCCCGCCUGGGGAGUACGGCCGCAAGGCUAAAACUCAAAGGAAUUGACGGGGCCCCGCACAAGCGGCGGAGCAUGCGGAUUAAUUCGAUGCAACGCGUAGAACCUUACCUGGGUUUGACAUGGAUCGGGAGCGCUCAGAGAUGGGUGUGCCUCUUUUGGGGUCGGUUCACAGGUGGUGCAUGGCUGUCGUCAGCUCGUGUCGUGAGAUGUUGGGUUAAGUCCCGCAACGAGCGCAACCCUUGUUCACUGUUGCCAGCACGUUAUGGUGGGGACUCAGUGGAGACCGCCGGGGUCAACUCGGAGGAAGGUGGGGAUGACGUCGAGUCAUCAUGCCCCUUAUGUCCAGGGCUUCACGCAUGCUACAAUGGCUGGUACAGAGAGUGGCGAGCCUGUGAGGGUGAGCGAAUCUCGGAAAGCCGGUCUCAGUUCGGAUUGGGGUCUGCAACUCGACCUCAUGAAGUCGGAGUCGCUAGUAAUCGCAGAUCAGCAACGCUGCGGUGAAUACGUUCCCGGG
rnacentral:rRNA from 1 species